GGCGAACGGGUGAGUAACACGUGGGUGAUCUGCCUUGCACUCUGGGAUAAGCUUGGAAAACUGGGUCUAAUACCGGAUAGGAACCGUCUUUAGUGUGGUGGUUGGAAAGUUUUUUCGGUGCAAGAUGAGCUCGCGGCCUAUCAGCUUGUUGGUGGGGUAAUGGCCUACCAAGGCGUCGACGGGUGGCCGGCCUGAGAGGGUGUACGGCCACAUUGGGACUGAGAUACGGCCCAG
rnacentral:rRNA from 1 species